GGUAGAGUGGCUGAAAGUGUUUAGGCUGUAAAUUGUAAAUUUACAUAUGAUUGAAAUUCCUCUAUUA
rnacentral:tRNA from 1 species